UUUUUUUGCCUUGUGUUUUAUUUUAGUUUCUAUCAAUGAAGCUUGCUACUUUGAAUCCUAUGUUUUAUGAUCUAGGAGUUGACCUUGAAGCAUUUAUGGUCAAACCAGAGAUAGUAAAUAAUGUAUCCUCACCAACACAAUGUAACCCCACUCAGCCUAUAACCACUACGGCUGCCGCUGCCGCCAUUGGUACCAUGGCCACAUUUACUCCGACUAAUAAUAUUCCGCUCUUGGAUACUUCAGCUUCACUUUUGUUUCACCAAGGAGAAAUGUCCGCGGUCUUCUCUCAGUUUCAGGUAUACUCUAUAUUAGGGUUUUGUGUUUUUCUACAAUACUUAAAUUUGAGAAUUAGUCUAUAUAUUUUAUUUUGACAUAAUUUAAUCCUCUGCUUUUAUAAUAUUAUUCAAAAUAGUUAAUACCAUUAACAAUUCUAAUUAAAA